ensembl:lncRNA
GUCAAAAGGUGGUUCUGGCUGAACAUGAGACAAGCGCCUGUUUUGUAAAUAAAAAAUGCAAAUGAUACCCCAAAAUUCACAUGAAUCCUAGCAGCAUGCUAAUCAUGCAUCAAAGCCUGUUGAAAACUAAGUAUGUAAGUACAUGUAAGUGAUGUGAAAUGGCUAGCUAGUUAGCGGGAUGCGCGCUAAUAGCGUUUCGAUUGGUGUCCUUCGAGCCCAGGGAGGAGCGGGACGGAAGCUAUAGGGUUACAUUGAUGCUGUUGACCCGCAUCACUGGUUGCUGCGGAAAAGGAGGAGAUCAAAAGUGGGGUGAGUGUAACUGAUGUGAAAUGGCUAGCUAGUUAGCGGUGGUGCACGCUAAUAGCGUUUCAAGCGGUGACUUCACUCGCUCUGAGACCUUGAAGUAGUUGUUCCCCUUGCUCUGCAAGGGCCGCGGCUUUCUUGGAGCGAUGGGUAACAAUAUUUCGUGGGAGGCAGCUGUAGAUGUGCGCAGAGGGUCCCUGGUUCAAAUCCAGGACCUGAGCCCUAGGACCAUGCCCCAGGACUACCUGACAUGAUUACUCCUUGCUGUCCCCAGUCCACCUGGCCAUGCUGCUGUUCCAGUUUCAACUGACCUGAGCCCUAGGACCAUGCCCCAGGACUACCUGACAUGAUGACUCCUUGCUGUCCCCAGUCCACCUGGCCAUGCUGCUGCUCCAGUUUCAACUUCCACCUGACUGUGCUGCUGCUCCAGUUUCAACUGUUCUGCCUUAUUAUUAUUCGACCAUGCUGGUCAUUUAUGAACAUUUGAACAUCUUGACCAUGUUCUGUUAUAAUCUCCACCUGGCACAGCCAGAAGAGGACUGGCCACCCCACAUAGCCUGGUUCCUCUCUAGGUUUCUUCCUAGGUUUUGGCCUUUCUAGGGAGUUUUUCCUAGCCACCGUGCUUCUACACCUGCAUUGCUUGCUGUUUGGGGUUUUAGGCUGGGUUUCUGUACAGCACCUUGUGACAUUGGCUGAUGUAAAAAGGGCUUUAUAAAUUAAUUUGAUUGAUUGAUUAUUCUGUAUGUAAAUUCGAGACACUCAAUUUCGUAUGAUAUGUUACGAAUUACAAUUCAUAUGAUAUGUUGAGGGUUAAGGUAAGGGUUAGGAGUUAGGUUAAAGGGUUAAGUAACCUUCUAUCUCAUGUAACCAUACCAAAUGUAAGAUAUCAUACUAAUUUCAGUGUCCUGAAUUUACCACUGGGCGAAAUUGUCAAUAUCAGGGUAUAUCUUUAUCUAUUUAUUUACAGAUAUAGAGUAGGAGUAGACAUGCUCCAGAUACCAAUGUCCUUAAUUUCAUAUAUGGAGCUAGGAUAUUCUCCGUUUUGAUUCCAAAACAUCCGGUGAUUUUGCAGAAAUACUCAUAAUAAACAUUGAUAAAAGAUACAACUGUUAUUCACAUAAUUAAAG